UAUUAUGCCUUUUAUAAUGGAAGCCAGGAGAGGGGAUUCUCUCUCUUUAUCUCUCUCACUUAUCUUUUUCUCCUUACCCAGAUUCUCUCUGCCAUCUCUAUCAAUUGUAAUCUCUAUCCAGAUUAACCAAUCAUGCCUUCUUAUGAGAAGGCCAUGCCUCUAGGCGGCCCUCUACCAAAAUUUGGCGACUGGGAUGUCAACGACCCUGCCACAGCUGAAGGAUUUACUGUCAUAUUCAACAAGGCCAGAGAUGACAGAAGGUCUGGCGCUGGAACUCCAUUGAUUCUGGCAGCACCAGACAAAUAUGAUGCCCGUAAAAAGAAGGACAAAUAUAAGUACUUCAAAAAGAGCAAAUGGCUUUGCUGUGGUUAAGACAAGAAAGAGAGAGAGAGAUGUUCUUGUUUUUCUCCUUCCCCAUUUAUUUCCUUUAAAUAUUGAUUGUUUGGCUCUUUUUUCCUUCAAGGAGAAUGAUGUACAUUGAAGAUUGAGUAAUAAAGUUCUAAUUUUUUUUUUUUU